AAUAGAUACCCCGGUAGUCCACGCCGUAAACGAUGAGUGCUAGGUGUUAGGGGGUUUCCGCCCCUUAGUGCUGCAGCUAACGCAUUAAGCACUCCGCCUGGGGAGUACGGUCGCAAGACUGAAACUCAAAGGAAUUGACGGGGGCCCGCACAAGCGGUGGAGCAUGUGGUUUAAUUCGAAGCAACGCGAAGAACCUUACCAGGUCUUGACAUCCCGCUGACCGCCAUGGAGACAUGGCUUUCCCUUCGGGGACAGCGGUGACAGGUGGUGCAUGGUUGUCGUCAGCUCGUGUCGUGAGAUGUUGGGUUAAGUCCCGCAACGAGCGCAACCCUUGUCCUUAGUUGCCAUCAUUCAGUUGGGCACUCUAAGGAGACUGCCGUACAAAUACGGAGGAAGGUGGGGAUGACGUCAAAUCAUCAUGCCCCUUAUGACCUGGGCUACACACGUGCUACAAUGGGUGGUACAAAGGGCGGCAAACCCGCGAGGGGGAGCGAAUCCCAAAAAGCCACUCUCAGUUCGGAUUGCAGGCUGCAACUCG
rnacentral:rRNA from 1 species